rnacentral:rRNA from 1 species
UACGUAGGGUGCGAGCGUUGCCCGGAUUUAUUGGGCGUAAAGGGCGCGUAGGCGGCCACGCACGUCCGUUGUGAAAUCGCCCGGCUCAACUGGGCGGGGUCGGCGGAUACGGCGUGGCUGGAGCAAGCUAGGGGGCAAUGGAAUUCCCGGUGUAGUGGUGGAAUGCGUAGAUAUCAGGAAGAACACCCGUGGCUAAGGCGGCUCUCUAGUACGUGACUGACGCUGAGACGCGAAAGCGUGGGGAGCGAACAGG